rnacentral:rRNA from 1 species
UUAAGUCCCGCAACGAGCGCAACCCUUGUCUUUAGUUGCCAUCAUUAAGUUGGGCACUCUAAAGAGACUGCCGGUGUCAAAACCGGAGGAAGGUGGGGAUGACGUCAAGUCCUCAUGGCCUUUAUGACCAGGGCUACACACGUACUACAAUGGCAGGUACAAAGGGCAGCCACUUAGCGAUAAGGCGCGAAUCCCGUAAAACCUGUCUCAGUCCGGAUUGGAGUCUGCAACUCGACUCCAUGAAGUUGGAAUCGCUAGCAAUCGCAGAUCAGCACGCUGCGGUGAAUACGUUCCCGGGCCUU